rnacentral:misc_RNA from 1 species
CCGAGUGCGGGCCCUCUGGGUCCAACCUCCCAUCCGUGUCUCUUGUACCCUGUUGCUUCGGCGGGCCCGCCUUCAUGGCCGCCGGGGGGCUCUCUAGCCCCCGGGCCCGCGCCCGCCGGAGACUCCAACAUUGAACACUGUCUGAAGUUUGCAGUCUGAGUUUUCAUAAAAGAAAAAUCGUUA